rnacentral:lncRNA from 1 species
UACCUCCACUUUUUCAAUUGGUUGAUGUGAAGCGCUAUCUCUGAUUCUAUUUCCCUACAAUUAUGGAGACUGAAUUAGUACAAUUAUCGAUUAAUGAAGAGGAAGAAGAAAUUUUGCAAAUCCAAGGUGAUCAAGGGUUACAAACAGAGGUGGGGGAUUAUCAGCUUGUGGGUUGUUUCUUAACAGCAAGUAUCAUAAAUUUUUCAGCUAUGAAGAGUACCUUAGCAAAUUUAUGGCAUCCAGUCUGUGGGGUGCAGAUACGAGAUCUGGGGGAAAAAAAUGUAUCUUUUCAAAUUUUUUCAUAGCAUGGAUAUGGAGAGAGUUUUGAAGGGUCUUCCGUGGACUUUUAACAAUCAUUUACUUAUUUUAAGCAAGUUGAGAAGAGGUGAAGAUCCGGUAAGAAUUCCUUUAGUUCAUGUACCGUUUUGGGUACAAAUUCAUGAGGUUCCAAUUGGUUUAUUCUCUGAGAUUUUAGCGAGGCAUUUGGGGAACUUUAUUAGAAAUUUUCUGGAAUAUGAUUGUUUAGAUUUGGGCAAAGAAAAUCGUAAUUUUAUGAGAGUUAGGGUGCAAAUUGAUGUUAGGAAGCCACUAAGAAGAAAGAAGCAGGUUAUGUCCAAUGGAGUUUCCUCGUAUGUAAAGUUCAAAUAUGAACGAUUAUCACUUUUUUGUUUUAUCUGUGGUCGUUUGGGACACAAUGACUCUUAUUGUGAGACAAAAAUGAUGAUAGGAACAGAUCUUUCAGUUAUGGGUUGGGAUUUAACUUUGCGGGCUCCAUCCCGUAGAGCUCUUUCACUGAGUAGUAUUUGGCUACGAGAAGAAGGGGAGGGAGACAGUGUAGGAUGUUGGAGGGAGAAUAAAUCAAGGAGGCUGGGCCAAAGGUUUGGGGAUUCAAAUAGAAGUAUGCAGGAAAUAAUUGAUCCUAUUUUGGGGUUUAGUUUAGAAGGGAAAGGAUCAGUUAUGAAUAAACAGAAAGAAAAAACGUGGCUCCAUCAGACGAAUGUGUUAAUGGAUCAUGAUCUGGAAGAUGAAGCUGUGAUGGGGGAAGAGGGGAAAAAACGAAAUAGGGGUGAGAUGGAGGGUCAAAAUUGUUCAUCAUCGGCGGCUACCAAGAGGUUAGCCGACCGGGCACAAUGAAAAUCAUUAGCUGGAACGUCCGUGGUCUGGGGAGUCAGCGGACGGUUAGAAGACUUCGGUAUUUACUGAAGAUGAAAGCUCCCCAAAUAGUCUUCUUUAUGGAGACAAAACUUAGCAGUAGGCGGAUGGAAUUUGUGCGGAGGAGAUGUGGGUUUCUAAAUGGUAUUGAAGUUGAAUCUGAAGGUACAAGGGGAGGAUUAUGUUUAGCAUGGAGAACUGAUGUGGAUAUAAUUCUUCGCAGCUAUUCUAAGAGACAUAUUGAUGUGGUUGUUGAAGAUAUUGAAAGAGGAGUAAAGUGGAGGCUUACGGGAUUUUAUGGAUCUCCAUAUGUACAGGAUAUGUAUGACUCGUGGGAAAUUUUGAAGAGACUAGCUAUAGGAGUGGAUAUGCCUUGGCUGGUUUGCGGAGAUUUCAAUGAAAUCAUGUAUAGAUUUGAAAAAAGAGGAGGUUUACCCAGAGAUGAAAGAAGAAUGGAAUGUUUCUGAAAAACGCUUGAAGAUUGUCAAUUGUAUGACGUGGGGUUUGAGGGCAGUUGGUUCACAUGGGAGAGAGGUAAUCUACCAGAAACGAAUAUACGAGAAAGACUUGAUAGAUGAGUCGCUAAUUUAGGUUGGAUUACGAUGUUUUCAGGAGUGAAGGCCCAACAAUUUAUUCACACGUUCUCUGAUCAUUGUCCUAUCCUCUUUGAUACUACUGAAAAUGCUGUUAGAAUACGGAAUAAUAACUUUAGAUUUGAAGCUUGGUGGCUUAUAGAGGAAUCUUUCAUUGAUGUGGUAAAAGGAUUAUGGGAGAAAUCAUCGGGGGAGCUGUUGCAGAGGUUAGAGGCGUUGAAAACAGGAUUAAAGGAGUGGGCUGGGGAAACUCAAAUUAAGAGGAAAAGAUCUAAACAGUUGCUCACAAAAAAACUUGAGGAGUUGGCUGAUGCUGAAAGGGAUGAUAAAAUCUUAGCUGAGUUGAUAGAGACUAGAAUCAAUUUGAAUUUUGAGAUCGAAAAAGAAGAAUGCUAUUGGGAACAAAGAGCAAGAAUAAAUUGGUUGAAGUUUGGGGACAAAAAUACAAAAUUCUUUCACAGUCAAGCUUCACAACGAAAGAGAAAAAAUUCUAUUCAUAAGCUGGUGAACGAAGAAGGGAGAGAAGUGGCUGUUUUACAGGAUAUUGAAGAGGCUGCGCAGUGUUAUUUUCAAAAUCUGUUCACGUCUGGAAGAAGAGGAAACAAUGAUUGUAUACUUUCAGGGAUUGAAGGAUGUAUUCAACUGGAAGACAAUCAAAAUCUUACAGCACCAUAUACAAGGGAGGAAAUUACGGAAGCAAUGUUUGAUAUGGGACCAAUGAAGGCUCCAGGGGAGGAUGGAUUUUCAGCGAUUUUCUAUCAGAAAUGUUGGCAGAUUGUGGGAGAAGACGUCAUAUCCUUUUGCAGCCAGAUAUUGAAUGGUGAUAUGGAGGUUAGUCAAAUAAAUUCUACAAAUAUUGUUCUCAUACCGAAAGUUAAAAAUCCUUUGACAAUGACGCAAUAUAGGCCGAUUAGUCUUUGCAAUGUACUUUAUUAAAUUAUUGCGAAAGUAAUAGCUAGUAGACUUCGAAAGGUUAUUGGAAAAUGUAUCGAUGAGGCACAAAGUGCUUUUGUUCCUAGUCGGUUAAUUUCAGACAAUGUGAUGCUAGCAUAUGAAAUAUUGCAUAAAUUAAAACAGAAGAGACUAGGGAGAAAAUGUCUUAUGGCCGUUAAACUUGAUAUGAGUAAGGCGUAUGACAGGGUUGAAUGGAGUUUUAUUGAAGGAAUCAUGAUGAGAAUGGGGUUUGAUUUUAAAUGGGUGAAGGCCAUAAUGAUUUGUGUUUCUACUGUUUCCUACUCUGUUGUUAUCAAUAGACAUCGCGGGGAUAAAUUUUUGCCAACUAGAGGUCUAAAACAAGGUGAUCCUCUUAGUCCGUUUUUGUUUCUUUUAUGCAGUGAGGGUUUAUCGAGUUUAUUGAGACAGGCAAUGAGAAGAGGCACAUUAAAGGGAGUAAGGGUUAGUAGGAAUGGGCCACAGGUUUUUCACCUUUUAUUUGCUGAUGAUUGCAUUUUGUUUGGGGAAGCAACAAGUAAGGGUGCUUGCAUCUUUAAGAAAAUCUUGGAUGAAUACAAAGUUCAAUUGGGACAGUGUGUUAACUUUGAAAAAUCUUCAGUUUUCUUUAGCCAAAAUACAUUGGAAGAGGAUCGAAGACAGGUUGUUAAUUUGAUGAGGGUGCGGAGAUCGAGUGAACCAGAAAGAUAUUUAGGGCUCCCCAAUAUGGUGGGUCGAUAGAAGAAGGAAGCUUUUCAAGGUAUGAAGGACCGAUUUAAGAAAUGCAUCGACAAUUGGAACAAUAGAUUUCUAUCACAAGGAGGGAAAGAAGUUUAUAUUAAGGCCAUUCUACAGGCUAUUCCAACCUACUCGAUGGCUUGUUUCUUAUUUCCUAGAUCUCUAUGUGAUGAGCUGGAAAGUAUUGUUGCUAAAUUCUGGUGGCAGAAAGGAAAAAGCAGAAGAGGAAUUCAUUGGUGUGCUUGGAAGGACCUCUGUUCAUUAAAAGAAAACGGUGGAAUGGGUUUUUGUAAUUUUGGUCAGUUCAAUGUUGCGUUAUUAGCGAAGCAAGGUUGGCGCCUUAUUAAUUUUCCAAAUUCUCUUUUAGCUAGAGUUUUAAAAGCAAAGUACUACCUGUCUUCAAGUUUCUCAAGUGCAAGGCUGGGAAAUUUACCUUCUUUUACCUGGAAAAGUAUCUGGGCUGCCAGGGGUCUUCUACAAAAAGGGAUGUGUUGGAGAGUGGGCAGAGGAGAUAGAAUCUCGAUAUGGAAAGAUUGCUGGAUUCAGGGGAUUGAUGGAAUUGAUGCAUAAAAUAGAAAAAACAGAGGUGAUAUUGAGUUAGUUUCGGACCUUAUUGAUCAUUUAAACAGAGAAUGAAAAGUGGGAUUAGUUAAUAAUACCUUUCAAGAGAACAUUGCUCAGAAAAUCCUUCAGAUUCCUCUCGCAGAGACCGAGCAUGAGGAUUUCCAGGUUUGGAAAGGAGAAUUAUCGGGUGAGUUUUCGGUCCGCA